UAUAUGUCUUGUGCACUAUGAAUGUACUGCUAUUUUGUUCUUUUGAGUGUAAAACUUCCCCUUAGAAGUUAGAAGAGAUCCCAAACCUCAUCAGAAUACACCGAAACUGAAAGAUCGAUGAAGUGCUCCUACUGAAGCCUGAGCUGCAAAAUUCAGAUCUGAAACUUUAACACAGGGCAUGUUCAAGAAGCGGUUUGCAAAUCCAGAGUGGCUUCUAACAGCACCCCGGGCCUUUGAUCUCUGACUCUUGCAGAGAAGAACUUCAGAACCUGUGAAAGCUGAGAGAAACCACCCCUGUCGCUACCUGGUGCUCACCAGCUUCACCGGCAGAGUUGCCCCAGGAGACAGCAAUGCAGAGGAGAGCGUUAAUGAAAACGAAGCGCUGAAUUUUAGAAAGUUCUGCUCGACAGCCUCACAGCCACCUCCGCCGAAGAUGGAGCCAAGUCGUUGGGUUUUUAGAGGGUUGGCGUUUGCUGGAACUUUGGAGGGAUUCGUUCUUUUUUCAUUUGGGCUCCAACAAGCAGAUGACCUGAUUUGUGUGUGUACUCAUCACGUCACGCGCCACUUUAGUUAAACAAAGUAGGAAGCAGCAGAAAGAGACAUGCUGACUUUUUUUUUUUCAGAAGUUGCUCGGUACUGCUGGAAAAAGAAAAAUAGGUCACUUCAAGUGACCAGUAUGGAAAGAGAUCCCUCACAUUCAAAUUCCCUAACGCUGAGCCUAAGUGGUGUCCCAAAAGAGCAUUUGCUGUUUAUCUAUCUCCGCUUAUAACCGUAUGGGCCAAAUGUUUAUGUGUAUGUGACUUUCCUACAUAGAUACUUCAAGCUGCUAAGUGAUCUCUGUUCUGGCCGUUAUGAAUCUUUGUUUACGUUGCCACGGCUUUGUAAAAAUGCCAAGAGAGAAUGAGGCUGGCCUCCUGGUAAUGUUUGUUGUGAAGCGCUGUUGUAUGCAGACUCUGAUUCAUCAACUUGGGAAUCUUCGAAGUAAGUGCACUUCCAACUUGCAUCACUGUGAGGCAUAUGGAGGAAAGGGUGCUGGGAGCACUGCAGUUUCUUGAGCAUUUGGUUGAUGGUUCUGCAGAUCUUCAAAGUUGUAGACAUACUGAAAGCAAGCCUAUUGCUGCCUCUAGUGCCAAGGUGCCUACACUGAAGGUCAAAGCACCACUGCUCUCUUUCCUUCUCUUUGAGUAUAGUUUUUAG
ensembl:lncRNA